rnacentral:rRNA from 1 species
CCUGAUGCAGCCAUGCCGCGUGUGUGAAGAAGGCCUUCGGGUUGUAAAGCACUUUCAGUUGUGAGGAAGGUGGUGUUGUGAAUAGCAGCAUCAUUUGACGUUAGCAACAGAAGAAGCACCGGCUAACUCCGUGCCAGCAGCCGCG